CAACAUACAAAGAAUGAAGCCUGGGACUUGAAGUUUUCGGAAGAAGUAGCUGGCUAGCUUGGGAAAGGGAUCAUCUAAUCCAUUCACAUUAUCUCGCUCCUAUUCUAAAUGCGUUGAAAUUUAAUUUUAUUCAGGAAGCUUCUCAUGGCGCUCUGCGCUGUUUGCUCAACCGAGCCGUCCAAGUAUCGUUGUCCCACAUGUAAUGUGCAGAGCUGCUCUCUCGCUUGCACCCAAUCCCACAAGUCAUACUGUUCCCCUAGCGCUCCUGAGCAGGACCACGAGUCAGAGAAGCCGGGGCUACUUGAGAACGCUCAAAAAAACGGUACAUAUGAAACUGCACCUGUCGAUGUUUGUGAAGGCACAAUAGAUCGCGUCCUACAACCUCACACCAACCCUACGACCAACAUACUCGUAACCUCCAACAUCCCGAAUGCAGCCCUUCACUUCCAAAACCUAGAAUCGUCCCAGGCGCUGAAGGACCUGUUUACCCAAUUCCCCGCUCUCCGAUCUCAGCUACGAG
rnacentral:sRNA from 1 species